rnacentral:lncRNA from 1 species
UUUUACACAUGAUUUGAAAGAUGGUUGAAUCCAUGGAUGUGGAACCCACGGAUAUGGAGGGCUGACUUUGUUCAACUAUGCUAAUCCUUUGGCCAGGUCACAUCCCUGUACUUCAGCUACUUUAUAAUCUGAAAGCUGUUCCUGCAUGGAAAGUCUUUACUUAAGCUUGAUAUUGAAGUCAACAUCUUUUUUUCUGGGGCUCAGAGGAGUUGCAGAGACCUUAGAGGUGUUUCC